CAAUAGCGUAUAUUGAAGUUGUUGCAGUUAAAAAGCUCGUAGUCGGAUUUUGGCUGAGAACGAUCGGUCCGCCGUUAGGUGUGCACUGAUUGGUCUCAGCUUCCUGGUGAGGAGGUGUGCUUCACGGCCACUUAGUCACCGUGGUUACUUUGAAAAAAUUAGAGUGUUCAAAGCGGGCUUACGCUUGAAUAUAUUAGCAUGGAAUAACACCAUAGGACUCCUGUCCUAUUUCGUUGGUCUCGGGACGGGAGUAAUGAUUAAGAGGAACAGUUGGGGGCAUUCGUAUUUCAUUGUCAGAGGUGAAAUUCUUGGAUUUAUGAAAGACGAACUUCUGCGAAAGCAUUUGCCAAGGAUGUUUUCAUUGA
rnacentral:rRNA from 1 species